GAUGAACGCUGGCGGCGUGCCUAAUACAUGCAAGUCGAGCGAACAGACGAGGAGCUUGCUCCUCUGACGUUAGCGGCGGACGGGUGAGUAACACGUGGAUAACCUACCUAUAAGACUGGGAUAACUUCGGGAAACCGGAGCUAAUACCGGAUAAUAUAUUGAACCACAUGGUUCAAUAGUGAAAGACGGUUUUGCUGUCACUUAUAGAUGGAUCCGCGCCGCAUUAGCUAGUUGGUAAGGUAACGGCUUACCAAGGCAACGAUGCGUAGCCGACCUGAGAGGGUGAUCGGCCACACUGGAACUGAGACACGGUCCAGACUCCUACGGGAGGCAGCAGUAGGGAAUCUUCCGCAAUGGGCGAAAGCCUGACGGAGCAACGCCGCGUGAGUGAUGAAGGUCUUCGGAUCGUAAAACUCUGUUAUUAGGGAAGAACAAAUGUGUAAGUAACUAUGCACGUCUUGACGGUACCUAAUCAGAAAGCCACGGCUAACUACGUA
rnacentral:rRNA from 1 species